UUCGAGCGGUGUAGAGCGCCUCAGCCUGGCUCCUGCCCGCAGACCCGGCAGGACGGCUCUCUUUCAGCGCCUCCUCAAUUUGAAACGCGGCCCAGAAAGACCUUGCUGCAGGACAGUUUGCACAAUUGUUUGCCCCUGUGGUUGUGGAGGGCCGUGCUCUGAAGGAUGCCAGCAUACCUAAACCACAGGCGCAGGGUAGUUAUCUAAAAAAGAAGGCAUCUUCCAAACAGAAGCACACAAGGAAGUUGUGUCCAAAGGGACGGGAUCAUACACCUUCAAGUCAAAUGUGAAAACACAUAAAGGGGGUGAUUGUUAUAAUGACACUUUAAUGUCAAACUCGUCCUUCCUGAAAAGAGGGCAAGGAGAUGGCAAAUCUGAUGAAGAAAGUUGGUGUUUGAGUCAAGCCAAAUGAAGCCAAAGAGAGACCUGUUGAGCAGUUCAUCCUUGGUAUCAGAACUCUGCUCAGUACUGAUGAAGCCGACCUGGCAUAAUCCAUUUGCUGAGUUUCGUCCUUGCUGAGCUGCCUGACAACACUCAAGGCAUGGAAGAUUUAAAAGAAAUCUUUUUACAAGGAUGUUUUCUGGCUUGUUACUUUUCUCCCUCACAUCCCCAACCCGAAGGGCCGAUGAAUGGUGUUGGCAACUAUUGCUUUUUUUUUUUUUUUUCUAAAUGAGCUUACAUUUUAGUCUAUUUGGUUUAAAGAGCCUUUGAUGGUGUUGAAACUCCAGUGACAUAGGCCUUGAUGAGAACCUAGACUUAUGUGCAGAAAAUCUUACUACCAGAAAUCUGGUCUACAUAUCACUGACUUCAAGAAUUUCUCUUGAUAAUGGUCUUAAAGUAAAAGGCAUCAGUGACUACGCAUGAACUAAAUGAAUGAAAAUGUGGGAUUAUGAAUAGUAAGAUUCUUUGGUCUCAUGGCAAGGGUUCUGUAUAGUCCAAAUCAACAAGCAUGUUUGCCACAUGCUUUGCUGCCAGUUCUGUGGAAAAAGUGGUUCAAGACCAAAUUUAACAGCACCUUUGUUUUCA